GCAGACGGCGUAAAAUUCGAUGUAAUAGGCAAACUCCCUGUGGAAACUGUGUGCGUUCCAAGAGCGGUCACUGUGUUUAUGGCGAUGAGCCACUCCGGACUCCGUUACGCAAUCUUGCACCGGCUCAAGGAUCACGGAAGCAAGUCCAUAUAUUGCCUGCUUCCGAGUCUCCUAGUGUUGGAAGUGACUCGACGACAGUAAGUCGAGUGGUAGGGUCGAUAGUGACGAGCUCAGCAACCCCCUUGACUGCUGCUUCUCAGCCAUCCCAUGAAGUGGAGUACUUGAAGAACAGGGUUAGAUUACUUGAAGAAGAGCAUUUAUCCCAAGCAACUGCGAAGGCGGCGGCAUCUCCGAAUUCCACCUCAACGCCAGCUUUAAACAUAGAAACAACAUCGUCAUCCCUCGCAGGAACAUUCUCUGUUCGUCGCGAAAGCCAUGCACCGGGAGGAACACCAACUAUCAAUCGCGGUAUCUUUCAUAAAAGUCGCCUAUUUGGACAGAGUCAUUGGGCUAAUGGGAUGGAAUAGCUCCUUCGAGGCCUUCUCGAGAUAAUCGAACCACAUAUACAGAAUAGAUCCAGACUCGCUUCCGGCCUACAGAGGUGUAAACUCCUAGCAAAGAUCAUAAAGGCGCAGUUGGCACCUCCGUGGCCAGUACCACCAACAUCCGAUUUACCACCAAAAGCACUCGCCGACAAGCUCCUGGACUGCUAUCUGCGAACCA
rnacentral:sRNA from 1 species